GUUGGCUGUGAUGACCAGAACUUGCCCUAUCUGAGAGAGCAGCUCUGUUAUGAGAAAGUUAUCUUUUAUCUGAGCCACU